AUUGUAUCAACGAGUCUCUAUUCCCAUGUCCUUUAAUUGGUGCUGAAAUAAGUGAUCCUAGAAACAUUGCUAAAGCAAGGGUCUGGCUGCUCCCCUCAGCUGUGUUUUGCUGCCCACUCUUAUGUACACCCCUCCUCCAGGACAGGCUUCAUUGAUGCCGCAGCCAUCGGAGAGGAUGGAAGAAACCAGUAAAAGAUGGAGCUCUGUGGAGCCAUCCCAGAGACAAGAAAUUUCUGGGAGCAGAACAGGCUCUGGGGUGCCUGGCAGCAGCUCCAAUACAGUCUCCUGGGGACGUUGCCAGGAUUGAGGUUACUUUGAUAAAUGACAGCCCAAUCCAAAAAUCUCUGCAGUGUGACACUCAGCCUCCUCCCACACUUCGAGGCAGAGCUCAGCUGAUUGCCUGUUGUGUGUCACCCGUGAAGUUUCUCAAAGUAGUGGCU